UGGGGAAUAUUGCACAAUGGGCGCAAGCCUGAUGCAGCCAUGCCGCGUGUGUGAAGAAGGCCUUCGGGUUGUAAAGCACUUUCAGCGAGGAGGAAGGUGGUGAACUUAAUACGUUCAUCAAUUGACGUUACUCGCAGAAGAAGCACCGGCUAACUCCGUGCCAGCAGCCGCGGUAAUACGGAGGGUGCAAGCGUUAAUCGGAAUUACUGGGCGUAAAGCGCACGCAGGCGGUUUGUUAAGUCAGAUGUGAAAUCCCCGGGCUCAACCUGGGAACUGCAUUUGAAACUGGCAAGCUAGAGUCUCGUAGAGGGAGGUAGAAUUCCAGGUGUAGCGGUGAAAUGCGUAGAGAUCUGGAGGAAUACCGGUGGCGAAGGCGGCCCCCUGGACGAAGACUGACGCUCAGGUGCGAAAGCGUGGGGCAGCAAACAGGAUUAGAUACCCUGGUAGUCCACGCUGUAAACGAUGUCGAUUUUGGAGGUUGUGCCCUUGAGGCGUGGCUUCCGGAGCUAACGCGUUAAAUCGACCGCCUGGGGAGU
rnacentral:rRNA from 1 species